AUCAUGUUGUGCUGCCCUCAUCCAGCGCCCACUGAAUCAAUCGUGUGAAGUCAUACGCUGGAAAAUGAAUACUCUGAAGAAAGGAUAUGGGACCUGCUGGUACCUCGAGCUUAUUGUCUAAAGAGAAGGUCCUUGCAGUUGCACAAUUUGCCAGUGUGUCAGCUACACCUGU